GACAGAGGAUGCAAGCGUUAUCCGGAAUGAUUGGGCGUAAAGCGUCUGUAGGUGGCUUUUUAAGUCUGCCGUCAAAUCCCAGGGCUUAACCCUGGGAUGCCGGUGGAUACUGUCGAGCUUGAGUCCGGAAGAGGCGAGUGGAAUUCCUGGUGUAGCGGUGAAAUGCGCAGAUAUCAGGAGGAACACCGAUGGCGAAGGCAGCUCGCUGGGACGUGACUGACGCUGAGACGCGAAAGCGUGGGGAGCAAACAGG
rnacentral:rRNA from 1 species